AGAGUUUGAUCAUGGCUCAGAUUGAACGCUGGCGGCAUGCUUUACACAUGCAAGUCGAACGGCAGCGCGGGGGCAACCCUGGCGGCGAGUGGCGAACGGGUGAGUAAUAUAUCGGAACGUACCCAGAAGUGGGGGAUAACGUAGCGAAAGUUACGCUAAUACCGCAUACGAUCUACGGAUGAAAGUGGGGGACCUUCGGGCCUCAUGCUUUUGGAGCGGCCGAUAUCUGAUUAGCUAGUUGGUGAGGUAAAGGCUCACCAAGGCGACGAUCAGUAGCUGGUCUGAGAGGACGACUAGCCACACUGGAACUGAGACACGGUCCAGACUCCUACGGGAGGCAGCAGUGGGGAAUUUUGGACAAUGGGGGCAACCCUGAUCCAGCAAUGCCGCGUGAGUGAAGAAGGCCUUCGGGUUGUAAAGCCCUGUCGCAGGGGAAGAAUAAGCAUCGGUAUAAUACGCCGGUGCCCUGACGGUACCCUGCAAGAAAGCACCGGCUAACUCCGUG
rnacentral:rRNA from 1 species